rnacentral:rRNA from 1 species
GAUGAACGCUGGCGGCAUGCCUAAUACAUGCAAGUCGAACGGACUAAAGAGAAAAGCUUGCUUUUUUUGGAAGUCAGUGGCGAACGGGUGAGUAACACGUAGGUAACCUGCCCAUGUGCCCGGGAUAAUUUCUGGAAACGGAAACUAAAACCGGAUAGGUAGGGAUCUCGCAUGAGGACCUUAUUAAAGGGGCUACGGCCCUGAACAUGGAUGGACCUGCGGUGCAUUAGCUAGUUGGUGGGAUAACGGCCUACCAAGGCGACGAUGCAUAGCCGACCUGAGAGGGCGAACGGCCACAUUGGGACUGAGACACGGCCCAA